rnacentral:tRNA from 1 species
GAGGGUAUAACUCAGUGGUAGAGUGUGUGCUUAGCAUGCAUGGGGUCUUGGGUUCAGUCCUCAGUACCUCUG